rnacentral:tRNA from 1 species
GGGUGUGGCUCAAGCGUUAGCGCUCUCGCCUGGCAUGUGUGCGGCCAGAGUUCGAUCCUCAGCACCACA